UAUUAGAAAUCUAAUCCCUAAUAUACCACUAAUGGAUUGUAGCCGCAGACCCUCACCCUCACUCUCGAUCUCUCCGUCGACGCACCCCUCACCCUCGAUCUCUCUGUCGCCGCACCCUCACCCUCCCUCUCGAUCUCUCCGUCGCCGCCUCUACCUCAGCCAGCCGAUUGUAGCCGCACCGCCACCGUCGCCGACCGAAUAGCACAGGCAGAAGGGACGAUUCGCACGGAGCGAAGAGCACAGGCCGAAGUAAGGAGACUUUACCAGGUGGAGUUUCAGUCAAUAAAAAGAGAGUUGAAAAAGGGCUUUCACAACUAAAGCUUAAAACAAUGGCCAUGAGUACUUAUCCCCAAAAAAAUCAGAGCUCUAUCUCGCCGUUCUCCUGACUCCGCUACUCUCUCCAUUUCGCUGUCAUCUCUUGGUUUUCCGAGGUACUCUUGCUCGUCUUUGGUGUGCGUGGCGUCGUCUCCGGUGGUGGCUGUUCUCUCUUCUUGUUAAAGUUCACCUUCGACAAGCCAUAUACUACUCAAGAAAUUGAUGAAGUUAGAGAAGAAUGGGCAAUGUUAUUUUUACAUUUGGUUAGAGCAAAAUGAACGAUGUUAUAGCUAGCUAAUUACAAUACAUAUUUAGAAAUUUUAAA